rnacentral:rRNA from 1 species
CCUACGGGAGGCUGCAGUGAGGAAUAUUGGUCAAUGGACGAGAGUCUGAUCCAGCCAAGUAGCGUGAAGGAUGACUGCCCUAUGUGUUGUAAACUUCUUUUAUAUGGGAAUAAAAUGUUCCACGUGUGGGAUGUUGUAUGUACCAUAUGCAUAAGGAUCGGCUAACUACGUGGCAGCAGCCGCGGUAAUACGGAGGAUCCGAGCGUUAUCCGGAUUUUUUGGGUUUAAAGGGAGCGUAGGUGGAUUGUUAAGUCAGUUGUGAAAGUUUGCGGCUCAACCGUAAAAUUGCAGUUGAAACUGGCAGUCUUGAGUACAGUAGAGGCAGGCGGAAUUCGUGGUGUAGCGGUGAAAUGCUUAGAUAUCACGAAGAACUCCGAUUGCGAAGGCAGCUCACUGGACUGCAACUGACACUGAGGCUCGAAAGUGUGGGUAGCAAACAGGAUUAGAUACCCCUGUAGUC